rnacentral:rRNA from 1 species
GAUCCUGGCUCAGAACGAACGCUGGCGGCGUGGAUAAGACAUGCAAGUCGGACGAGAGAAUUGCUAGCUUGCUAAUAAUUCUCUAGUGGCGCACGGGUGAGUAACACGUGAGUAACCUGCCCCCGAGAGCGGGAUAGCCCUGGGAAACUGGGAUUAAUACCGCAUAGUAUCGAAAGAUUAAAGCAGCAAUGCGCUUGGGGAUGGGCUCGCGGCCUAUUAGUUAGUUGGUGAGGUAACGG